UUACGGCCACAUCACGUUGAAACACCAGUUCCCUUACGACCACCGGAGUUAAGCAAUGUUGAGCCUGGUCAGUACCUAGAUCUGUAACCGCUUCGGAAUACAGAU